UUGCUUUAUGCAAAUGAUGCUGUCACGCUAGCUAUUCAGUCAUGUCAUGAUGGCCUUAUACUAAGUAAUUUCUGUAUGUAUGUGUAUGUGUAUGUGAAUGCUUUGUAAGAGCAUUUCAUGUUGUGUUUCCACAGAUUUACAAAUUUAAGAAUCCACUAGUCCCUAAAAUCCAUGUCGGAUUGCUGAGUCUUUAUUCCAUGGGUCUGCUGUUAGCUAUCUGCUAAGCUAACUUCCCAAAGCAAGAGCAGAAAAGUAACUUAGGUUACCAAUAAAAAGAAUAUAGUGCCUGGUGUAAAAUGUUGGCGGCGUUCCCCUUUAAGGAAUAGGACGCUGAAGACAGCCCUGCAAACGCUCUGUUAGCGACGGCUAACGUGGGGUCCUCACAGCUUGGAUUCAGGCUUCAGCUCUUUGCCCUCUGGCUAAAUCUCAAUCCACCAGCCUGCAAAUAAUGACAACAGCUGUCCUUGGGGCAUCCGUCCAAACACCCCCCUUCCUCUCGCGCCGCCAGACGGUCAGCCGGUCGGCGGGCACGUUGCGGCUGGGCAGGCGUCCAUGUGAUCCACUACGACUUGGGAAAACCCACAGCGGUGGAUUUACUGAGGAGGGUAAGACGCAACUCUGCUGAUUGGAAAUAUUUGGUAAGACAGUUCAGCUUCUCACUUUACUUGGUGAACUGGUUUUUAACUUUCAAAAUAAAUACAGAACUUGUGUAUUUCAGUAAGGUUUUAAUUGUUACGUCUGUGCUCUUUUUACUAGGCUGCUCGCUUUAAGCAGGAAAAGAAGGGAGAAAAAGUGUGUGCAUCUUUCACUUGCCAGUAAAGCAAUGAAGGGAUGAAGAUGUCAGGUGUUUGCCGCAUGGAUACCUUCUCUCGGUACAUGCCGAAAGGUUCCCUGGACACGCUACACACACACACACACACAUACACACACGCACACAUAUAAGAGAUCAAUC